GUGCAGAAGUCGAGAAACCUUCGCAAUGCAGGAAACUGCGACGAGGGAACUCCAAGUGCCUACGCUCAGCGUAGGCUGUUCUCAAGCCUAGAAAGCUUGAGGAGUAAGGGCUGGGGUAAGACGGGUGCCAUCUGUGGUAGCAGUCAAUAGAUUCGAUUUGUUACUGCAAGGCAUAAGCCGCGCGGUAAUACCCGCAGCCCAAGUGGUGGCCGCUUUUAUUGGGCCUAAAGCGUCCGUAGCCGGCCCGGUAAAU
rnacentral:rRNA from 1 species